CGAUUUAGUGCAGAUUUUAUUUAUUUAUUUAAAGGUAUCAAGUUGUGAUACACGAUGGUAGAAGAUUACAAUAAUGAAGAAGAAAGUAUAUGAAAAAGUGAAAAAGAAUGUGAUAGGAUAACAAAGAGGCUUAUGUACCACUAGAUGGGCGGCACAAUUAUCCAAACGCGGGACAUAGCAAAUAGUGACCAUAGUAAGUGAAAGUUUGAUGGAGCGACAAUCUUGUAGUAGUAGAUGAACGCAAAUAUCUGAAGUUGUAGAAUUGAUGAAUCUAACCGCUUUGGCUGAAUGAGAGUGAAUGAGGACAAAUUCCACAGGACGAGCAGUCACAACAAUCAAAGCCUGCCAUAUAGCCGUGAACUCCACAGUUAGUGGGUCUGUAAUUGAACGGAUUACAAGUCAUGUUGCGAAAACUAAUGAACCACAUAUGCGACGUAAUACAAUACCAAGGGCCCCAUAUCCUGAAUCCAAAUUGUGUUGUCUGUCCUUUCCUUGUAGUGGGAAGGAUCUUACUACUGCGUCAACAAAGAAAUGCCAGGUCGAGUGCAUCCUCUGCUAAGUAGAAGAUCCACAUUCAGAUGUUUCCUAAUAAUUAGUUCCGGUGCAGCAAACCUAGCUCCCUCCAGCUAAUGAUGAUAAAAUUGACGAGAAAGUGAUGUAAUUGAAUAUUGGACACCUUCAAACACCAUCGUGUUUCUCGACUUCCAGAUCCGACACCAGAAAUACACAAGCUUGAUGGUUAGAUCUUGAUCAGAUUGCAGAAAUCGCGCCAAACCCGUACAAGAUAUUUAUCAAGCACAAUGAAGCAAUCACAAUGAAUAGAGUUUGCAAGUAUUUGCGUCACAAGAUAGUGAAAAGAAGAUGUGGUAGAGCCUCAUAAAUAGUACCACCAACUAAGCAUUUGGAAUCUAUAGAAACAUUUCGAUUCAAUAAACCAUAUGCAAUUGGAAGAAUCCAAUGAAGAACCUUCCACACAAAGAAUCUUAGCUUUAGUUAAAUUGGUAGUGACCAUAAUCGAGCCCAAACCGACGAAUCCACAAGUAAUGGACCUGCUUUGGCCCUACCUGAAAUAGGCAAGGAUUCACUACAUAAUCGAUAUCCUGAUGAAAUGGAAUAAACCCCAAAGCAAGUAAAGCUCCAAAUCCAUUUGCCAAACAAGGGUCAAUCAGUGAUGGGAUGGAUUGAAUAAGACGUAACUUCUAACAUUUAUUAAAUGACCGAAUUGCCUUGGGGCAAACGAAAGACUCAAAUUAAAGAUGAAAGUCAAUAAAAUAAAUUAAAGAAAAAAUCAUCAAACAAAUGCUAAGGCCCGAUACACGAUCUGGCACAUGUUUUUCAUAAUACAUAUUUUGAUGUAGAUUUCAAAUUUUGUUGACUCUGUUAAGUUAGAAUUAACGGAUUGGUGACGGAAGCUGACAAGUCAAACAAUAUGUCUGACGUGGAUGGAUGAAAAGCAAUAAAUCAGAAAUAAAUACGCAGUCCGCACACUUAAAAUUUGUAAAAAAACCACCCAUCUGUCUUACCUUCUCUGCCGACCAGCUCCUCUUCUCACCCACAUGCCACCUCCCAUCUGAAAUUAAUUUUCAUCACCUGAGGAGAAAGAGCGGAAGAAGAAGAAAAAGAAAGAAAGAUGAAGCAAGGUGCAUCCGAUUUGAAUCCCAAAAUGCAGACACCAACCUCGUAACUGAACUCUCCGUCCAUUUGAAUCCCGACGAUUUGAAUUCCAACGAUGUCGACAACAAUCUCGUACCUGAACUCUCCAUCGAUUUGAAUCCUAAUGAUGCCAAAAACAACCUCAUACCUGAACUCUCCAUCGAUUUGAACCCCGACGAUGCCGACAACAAUCUCAUACCUGAACUCUCAGAUGAUUUGAAUCCCGACGAUGCCUACAACAAACUCAUACCUGAACUCUCAUUCGAUUUGAAUCCUGACGAUGCCAACAAUAAUCUUGUACCUGAACUAUCUGCCGAUUUGAAUCCCGACAAUGCCAACAACACAUGAUACCUGAACUCUCCAUCGAUUUGAAUCCAUACGCUGCCAACAACAACUCUCCUUCGUUGCCGAUGAAACGCCCAAGCUUAUGGAGAGAUGGAUAUAUAGAGUAAAAGCUGGCAGAGGUCCAGAUCGGGACAGUGUACAACAAUUUCCGAAUUCGGGGAUGACCCAUCGGGAAAUUCUCCCCGGCUGUCGAUUUCGGACUGUCCCCAAGGUUAGAAUUGAUUUUAGCGCUCUUGGUGUGAGUAGGUUUGUAGGUAACUGAAAUUGUUAGGUUUUUUUGUUUGUUGUAGAUGGAGGAGUUAAAUUGGUUGGGUUUCUUUGAUAGGGGUGGGAUUGUAGGCAGUUUGGGUUGUUUGAUUGGUUUGCGGUUUCUUUGUCUUAGCUGGGUUUUUUAAAGAAUACAUGAAGAAUAUUGAUAAGGGAGGAGGAAGAAUGUGGAGGAGAUAAAUGUUUUUU
rnacentral:lncRNA from 1 species